CACACACGUGCACCACGAACUCUGGCAUAGACGUUUCGCUCGUUCUCUACAGCCAUUCUAUCUAUUAUAUUGCCUUUGCUUCGGUGCGCUUAAUGUUCUAUUAUAACCCAAGUAUGUUGUCGUCACAUUUGCUUCACGGACGCAGGACGCUGGCUAUGUAACAUCAAAAACAGGGAAUAUGCAACCUGUAUACCUUUAGUCAUACCAUCGUUCUAGCGCCUUAUCUCUACGUUACAGAGGAGCCUUUCGGAACUGAUGUGGGCUCCUGGAAUUUGUUUCAUUUUGUGCAUCCUGCCUCGUCUAAUUGAGGCCGCGUACAGCGUUCGGAAUAUUCAAGCCACGUCAGAGAGGCCGAGUCUGGUUCCUCCGAGUGCAGCAUCUGUUUCUCAAAGCCACAGCAACAACAUUUAAGGACUGACCAAUGUGGUGAUGACCGUGGUGUAACGCCGCUUGAUGCUCCGUUGAAGUGUUAAAAGGAAUAGCGUUGGAAUCGCUUUGCUACAAUAUAUCGGUCCUGGUCUCUACGAGCCCAUCCGGACGUCAAUGACCCAGCGAGGUCACCAACGCCUUGUUCUGAAACCCAAGUGCACUCUACGUAGUCUCGUUUUUACAGAUGCCUAUUCAGGGGGUCACAGGCUUGCAGAAGUCUUUAAGGACAGUGAAGGCCGC